rnacentral:lncRNA from 1 species
GGCAUCUCGCUGUCUGCGCUGGGCACGGAGCGGCGCGCGCGCGCCCGUCUUUCCCUCGGCGGCCCCCGCGGCUCGGACCCGGGCCGGCAGACAGGCCAUCCAUCAUCCGCCCUCCUCCCGCGGAGCGCCGCAGCCGCCGCGGCCAAUCCGGCGGCAGGUGGGGCCGCACCUGCGCGACAGCCCGCCGCUUCCCUCCGCUCCCUUCGCCGCGCCUCGCGUGCUAGCGGUGCCCUUGUGAGCCACUGCGUUCUCCAAGGCCAGAACGGGACAGUUGACGAUGGUCGUACUUCUCCAUGUUCUGAGACCAGUUUAAACAAAAACAAAAACCAGACAACAACCUUGCAAGGGAAAGAAUUCAGAGUAAAUAAACAGUCUUUUUCUGGGAAGUAAAAUAUUUCCCUAAGAUGGAGAAAUUGAGAUGAGAGCUCAUCCACAAGAUUACCCAUCAAUGAGCACCAAUAGCAACCAAAUCCACUAGAAGACUGGGAGCUUUUAAGUCAAGAAACUUACAUCAGUAUCAUCAUUCCAAGAAGCGGUAUCCAAGCUGUUUUAUCGAAAGUGCGCAUGGGAGGGAUCUCAUCAGAGAGAGAGACAUCUUCGCCACUGCCAUGAAGUUUCAAGUACAGAACUCUUCCUCGUAAUCAAACUAUUUCUAUGAACAAUUCACUCAUCAUUGUGGGAAAGUCUAUUUUUCAUCUUAACACACAAACAGACAAUAACAAAAUUUGUGAUUUGGAUAAUCUGGAUCUGAUGUUCAUGCUCAAAAUGGAGGCAAUUCGUAAUACUGGUCUGAAGCAUUUAGUCAUUCACUGAGCAGAUACGUUAGGAGCAACAGGCAUGGGCUGUGUUUUUCUAGGCACUGUGAACACAGCAGUCAACGAAGUCAAAAACCUGUGCUCUUAAGGGACAUGAAUUGCCAAAUGGAAACACUAAGUUUUUCUAUUUAUGACCUAAAGCUAGUCAAAUAUCUCCAGAAGUAAGGUAGCUGAGUGAAGUGGUUCAUAAUCUUUCCAUGGGAGCCAAAUCCUCGGUGCUGUGACUCUUUUAGAUAAAUGAUAGUAAAAAUGAAUCAAAAGUUAAUUAGCUUGCACCUCAAUAAUCCAGUCUCCAUCACUGAUGGUCAUCGUGGAAUCUGCGUACAGAGGCAGCUGUAUACAGAUGACAGAGACAGCUCUAACACGUGACACAUUUAAGCACACAGAGGCGGAAGGACAUAAAGUUCCUGGUUGAUUUCCCUUUGGUGUUUGUGGGGAAAUAUCAAGGUCAUAAAAAGUCAGUUUCUAAUAAUCCCUCCAGUCCUCCAUUCCAUUCCCUAAUUUGUAUGCAAUGGCAUUUAACAUUUUGACUUUGCUUAAAAUAAAAUGUGUGUUUGUUUUAAAAUAAA